UGGGGAAUUUUGCACAAUGGGGGAAACCCUGAUGCAGCGACGCCGCGUGAUUUAGAAGGCCUUCGGGUUGUAAAAAUCUUUUCUAUGGGAAGAAAAUGACAGUACCAUAGGAAUAUGGACCGGCUAAUUACGUGCCAGCAGCCGCGGUAAUACGUAAGGUCCGAGCGUUGUCCGGAAUCAUUGGGCGUAAAGGGUACGUAGGCGGGUAAGCAAGUUAGAAGUGAAAUCCUAUAGCUCAACUAUAGUAAGCUUUUAAAACUGCUCAUCUUGAGGUAUGGAAGGGAAAGUGGAAUUCCUAGUGUAGCGGUGAAAUGCGCAGAUAUUAGGAGGAAUACCGGUGGCGAAGGCGACUUUCUGGCCAUAACCUGACGCUGAGGUACGAAAGCGUGGGUAGCAAACAGG
rnacentral:rRNA from 1 species